UGCAAGCAGCUGCCGGGCUCCUCACCGGGCUCCCUUCCCUCUCCUCACUGGCUGAUGGAUCCCAAGGGGCUCCUCUCCUUGAACGUCCUGCUGUUUUUCUCCCUAGCUUUUGAGCUGAGCUGCAGAACAGGUGAGGGCUCAACGAAUUGCCCAGUGAUGAUCCUUGGGCGGCUGGGAAGCAGUGUGCUGCUGCCCCUGACAUCUGACGGGAUAAGUAAGAGCAUGAAUAAGAGUAUUCACAUCCUUGUCACAAUGGCAGGAUCACCCAUAGACACCGUCAAGAAGAAAAUAGUGUCUCUGGAUCUGCGGAAAGGUGACUCUCCACACCAUCUGGAGAAUGGCUAUGAGUUUCAUCCAGAAAACAUGAGCCUGAGGAUCCUGAAAAGCAGGAAGGAGGAUGAGGGCUGGUACUUUAUGAGCCUGGAGGAAAACAUUUCAGUCCAGCAAUUUUGCCUGCAGCUGAAGCUCUAUGAGCAGGUCUCCACUCCGGAAAUUAAGGUGUUGAACUCCAGCCAGGAGAACGGGAACUGUAGCCUGAUGCUGGCCUGCAUGGUGGAGAAGGGGGACCAUGUAGCUUACAACUGGAGUGAGGAGGCGGGCACCCCUCUGCUGAGCCCCACCAAGAACUCCCACCUCCUGUAUCUCACCCUUGGCCCUCAGGAUGCCAACAACAUCUACAUCUGCACCGUGAGCAACCCCAUCAGCAAUGGCUCUCAGACCUUCAUCCCGUGGUCCAGAUGCAGCCUCGGUUCCUCAGAAGCAAGACAAUGGGCACUGUAUGCUGGGCUCUUCUUAGGGGUCAUCGUUGGUGUCAUCAUGAUUCUGCAAGUGGUAAUACUACUGUUGAGAAGAAGAGUCUGUUCAGAAGAAACCUGACUCUCUGCCAGCUCAGGACCCCUGCACCAGCAUUUACGUUGCUGCCACAGAGCCUGUGCCAGAGCCCGUCCAGCAAUCAAGCUCCAUCACAGUAUAUGCCAGCGUGACACUUCCAGAGAGCUGACACCACAGAUCCAGUGAAGGGACUUUCUGAAGGAAUACGGAGGAGCCAAAAUAAACACUGAACUUGGUCCCAAGUCCCAAGUUUCUUGUGACAUCUACACAUCUGUACUCUUCUCGGAUCGACUCCCUGGUGAUGUUUCUCCCACAUCUACCCGCGAAAUAGAUAAGGAAGCGAGGUUUCCCAAGCACUUAGCCUGCUUUGUGGGAGGCACAGGCUCAGAACAGAGAGCUGCUUGGAAUAGCUUUCCAUCUCUGUGGUGUAGCAGAUGAAAUGGAUAAUGCCGGUCCAGUGAGGUGUCUCACUCUUUGCUGCAAUUGGGUAAUAAAAGCCAAAGGCAGAAAGUCAGGACAGGACGUCUAGUACCUAUCUCAGACAGCUGACCACCAGCCACAAAGUCUGGAACAGCGUACCCUUGGGCUGCCUGUCCUUGGUCUGGGAGCUGCUCCCGAUCACCAUGCAGACUUGAUCAAGGCUCUGGGCCUCAGUUUCUCUCUCUGGAUAGACAAUGAGAUUAUUGUCUCAAUGAGAUUAAUAAACACUCUGAGAUUAUUCCAUAAAAGAAGCUAAUAAAGUAUUUUAUUUGUAAAACCUGGAAGCUAAGAGUCAAUAAACUGAAAAUAUGA